UUAAUGGAGAAGGGUAUUCCUGCACAACCGGAGGCUGCAGUUUCAGGACCACGGUUCUAGGACCGCAGUUCUAGGACCCUAGUUUUUUUGUGACAGCGCCACCUACCGUAAUGGAUCAACACUAAUUAAAGAUGGACGACGUGGACAGCAAUCAGACGUGAAGUGGAAGAAUUUAAUAGAAAGAUUGACAAACAAUUGAGGAAAGAAGGGAGAUCAUUCAAUUGAGUUGAAGCCUACAGCCAUUCUAUCCAUGCAGCAACUGAUGGAAAAGGGGUUCGCUUUGGUGCUGUUGUCGCAAAAAUGACAUAUAUAUAUACACUACCGUUCAAAAGUUUGGGAUCAGUAAGACUUUUAAUGUUUUUAAAGAAGUAUCU